GUGCCAGCCGCCGCGGUAAUACAGAGGUCUCAAGCGUUGUUCGGAUUCAUUGGGCGUAAAGGGUGCGUAGGUGGCGAUGUAAGUCUGGUGUGAAAUUUCGGAGCUCAACUCCGAAACUGCAUUGGAUACUGCGUUGCUCGAGGAUUGUAGAGGAGAGUGGAAUUCACGGUGUAGCAGUGAAAUGCGUAGAUAUCGUGAGGAAGACCAGUUGCGAAGGCGACUCUCUGGGCAAUUCCUGACACUGAGGCACGAAGGCCAGGGGAGCAAACGGGAUUAGAAACCCUGGUAGUCC
rnacentral:rRNA from 1 species